AUCUGAGACAAGAGUACAGCAUACUUCCCUCAGAACAACUUCUAUCAUGCUGCUGCCAGGCCUGCUGAGAGUAGCCCUGGCUGCCAUCUACCUUAGAUCCAGCAUGACCCAGAAGGUAACUCAAGCCCUGUCCACCAUUUCUAUGGUGCAGAAGGAGACUGUAACUUUGGACUGUGCCUAUGAAACUAGUAGUUAUACUUACUAUUUAUUCUGGUACAAACAAACACCAAGUGGGGAAAUGAUUUUCCUUAUUGGUCAGGAGUCUUACAAUGAACAAAAUGCAGCAGAGGGCCGGUAUUCUCUGAACUUUCAGAAACCGGCCAGUUCUGUCAGCCUCACCAUCACAGCCUUACAACUCCAGGACUCGGCAAUGUAUUUCUGUGCUCUGAGAGAGGCCACAGUGAGGUGGGUGCCUGUGGGAGCCCUACAAAAACCUCAGAUCUCAACAUGA